rnacentral:rRNA from 1 species
UUUCCGUAGAUGAACCUGCGGAAGGAUCAUUGUC